rnacentral:rRNA from 1 species
GACGAACGCUGGCGGCGUGCCUAAUACAUGUAAGUCGAGCGAAGUUUUUCUGGUGCUUGCACUAGAAAAACUUAGCGGCGAACGGGUGAGUAACACGUAAAGAACCUGCCUCAUAGACUGGGACCACUAUUGGAAACGAUAGCUAAUACCGGAUAACAGUAUUUCUCGCAUGAGAGAUAUUUAAAAGUUGGUUAUGCUAACACUAUGAGAUGGCUUUGCGGUGCAUUAGCUAGUUGGUGGGGUAAAGGCCCACCAAGGCGACGAUGCAUAGCCGACCUGAGAGGGUGAUCGGCCACACUGGGACUGAGACACGGCCCAGACUCCUACGGGAGGCAGCAGUAGGGAAUCUUCCGCAAUGGGCGAAAGCCUGACGGAGCAACGCCGCGUGAGUGAAGAAGGAUUUCGGUUCGUAAAGCUCUGUUGUUAGGGAAGAAUGGAUAUGUAGUAACUAUACAUGUAAGAGACGGUACCUAACCAGAAAGCCACGGCUAACUACGUG